UCUGUGCCUGUCUCGGCAUCCUCAUGGGGAAGGCGUCUGUGCUUGAUUGCAUAGCGUCUGAUUCAUGACUUUUACUUUGAGGAAAUUAGAGUGUUCACGGCAAGCAAUCGCUUUGAAUACAUUAGCUUGGAAUAAUAAUAUAGGGCUUAAGUUCUAUUUCGUUGGUUUCUAGGGCAUAAGCAAUGAUUAAUAGGGAUAAUUGGGGGCAUUCGUAUUAACGCGUCAGAGGUGGAAUUCUUAGAUUGCGUUACGACGAACUACUGCGAAAGCAUUUGCCAAGGAUGUUUUCAUUGAUCAAGAACGAAAGUAUGGGGAUCGAAGACGAUUAGAUACCGUCGUAGUCUAUACCAUAAACUAUGCCAACUAGGGAUUGGUGGUCGUUCUCUUUAUGACUCCAUCAGCAUCUUAUGAGAAAUCAAAGUUUUUGGGUUCCGGGGGGAGUAUGGUUGCAAAGCUGAAACUUAAAGGAAUUGACGGAAGGGCACCACCAGGAGUGGAGCCUGCGGCUUAAUUUGACUCAACACGGGAAAACUCACCCGGCCCG
rnacentral:rRNA from 1 species